AUGCUCCAGACCCCGACUUCGUUCCGCGCACACCCGCUCGCCAUGCGCUUCCCGUCGGUUCGCUUCCUGCCGUCAAGUGCGGCGCCGGCGGUGGUGGCCGCGAACGCGCGCAUCGCCUGGAUGGCGCGCGCGGGGAACAUGGAGGGCGCCCGCGCGACGUUCGAGGCCAUGCCCCUCCGCACCACCGCUUCCUACAACGCCCUCAUCGCCGGCUACUUCCGUAACCACCUCCCGGAGGCCGCCCUCGGCCUCUUCCGCCGCAUGCCCUCCCGCGAUCUCGGCUCCUACAAUGCUCUCAUCUCCGGCUUCUCCCUCCGCCGUCACACCCUCCCUGAUGCGGCGGCCGCGCUCGCCUCCAUCCCCUUACCCCCCUCAGUCGUCUCCUUCACCUCCCUCCUGCGCGGGUACGUGCGCCACGGCUUCCUGGCCGACGCCAUCCGCCUGUUCCACCAGAUGCCCGAGCGCAACCACGUCUCCUACACGGUUAUGCUGGGUGGUUUUAUUGAUGCCGGCCGUCUCGACGAGGCCCGCAAGCUGUUCGACGAAAUGCCUGACAAGGACGUCGUUGCACGAACUGCCAUGCUAUCUGGGUACUGCCAGGCUGGCCGAAUUGCCGAGGCACGCCUGCUGUUUGAUGAUAUGCCGAAGAGGAAUGUUGUGUCAUGGACUGCAAUGAUAUCUGGAUACUCUCAAAACGGGAAGCUUAACCUUGCACGGAAGCUUUUUGAGGUGAUGCCUGAUCGCAGUGAGGUGUCAUGGACUGCUAUGUUAGUCGGGUACAUACAGGCUGGACAUAUCGAGGAUGCCGAGCAGCUGUUUAAUGCAAUGCCAGAGCACCCAGUGGCUGCCUGCAAUGCGAUGAUGGUUGGGUUUGGGCAGCGCGGGAUGGUGGAUGCUGCCAAGGCAGUGUUUGAGAGAAUGCAAGAGAAGGAUGAUGGUACGUGGAGUGCAAUGAUUAAAGCGUAUGAGCAGAAUGAGUUCUUGAUUGAGGCAUUGUCUACUUUCCGUGAUAUGUCAUGGAGAGGUAUCCGUCCAAACUACCCAUCAGUCAUUAGCAUCCUUACUGUGUGUUCGGCACUAGCUAUUCUCAAUUAUGGAAGGGAGGUGCAUGCUGCAAUGCUGAGAUGCUCCUUUGACAUGGACAUUUUUACUGUUUCGGCAUUAAUCACAAUGUACAUCAAAUGUGGAAAUUUGGAUAAAGCUAAUAGGGUCUUCAAUAUGUUUGAGCCCAAAGAUGUCGUGAUGUGGAACUCAAUGAUCACUGGUUAUGCUCAACAUGGGUUGGGGGAGGAAGCACUUGGCAUAUUUAAUGACAUGACGAUUGCAGGAAUGGCACCUGAUGGGAUUACUUAUAUUGGAGUCCUCACUGCUUGUAGCUAUACCGGGAAAGUAAAAGUAGGGAGGGAAAUUUUCAAUUCUAUGUGUAAGAAUUCUGCCAUCCGACCAGGAGCGGAGCAUUACUCUUGUAUGGUUGAUUUGCUUGGUCGAGCUGGACAUGUAGAUGAAGCAUUGGAUUUGAUUAAGAACAUGCCAGUUGAAGCCGAUGCUAUCAUCUGGGGAGCACUGAUGGGUGCCUGUAGGAUGCACAAGAAUGCUGAGAUUGCCGAGCUUGCUGCUAAGAAGCUAUUAGAGCUAGAGCCCGAGAGUGCUGGACCAUAUGUUUUGCUCUCUCACAUUUAUACAUCCACUGGGAGGUGGGAAGAUGCUUCUAAGAUGCGGAAAUUCAUUAGCUCAAGGAAUUUAAACAAGUCUACAGGCUGUAGUUGGAUAGAGUACGACAAGAGGGUGCACCUCUUCACAUCUGGUGAUAUAUUAGCACACCCAGAGCAUGCUAUUAUCCUUAAGAUGUUGGAGAAACUAGAUGGUCUACUGAUGGAAUCUGGUUACUCAGCUGACGGAAGCUUUGUGCUCCAUGAUAUAGACGAAGAGCAAAAACUUCAUAGCUUGCGAUAUCAUAGUGAGAGGCAGGCUGUGGCGUAUGGACUUUUGAAAGUUCCAGAAGGAAUGCCCAUUCGUGUCAUGAAGAACCUUAGAGUGUGUGGUGACUGCCAUGCUGCCAUGAAGUUGAUUGCAAAAAUUACUUCCCGGGAAAUCAUACUCAGAGAUGCUAAUAGGUUCCAUCAUUUCAAAGACGGAUUUUGCUCAUGCAGGGACUAUUGGUGA
rnacentral:rRNA from 1 species